UACGUAGGGUGCAAGCGUUUGUCCGGAAUUAUUGGGCGUAAAGAGCUCGUAGGUGGUUUGUCGCGUUGUUCGUGAAAACUCACAGCUCAACUGUGGGCGUGCGGGCGAUACGGGCAGACUGGAGUACUGCAGGGGAGACUGGAAUUCCUGGUGUAGCGGUGGAAUGCGCAGAUAUCAGGAGGAACACCGGUGGCGAAGGCGGGUCUCUGGGCAGUAACUGACGCUGAGGAGCGAAAGCGUGGGGAGCGAACAGG
rnacentral:rRNA from 1 species